rnacentral:piRNA from 1 species
UAGUUAGCCUCCACAGCACCCUGAGU